CAAAAAGCUCACAAGGGAAAGCACAGAAUGAGGCUACCGAGAGUUUUAAGGAUUUUUCUUUGAAAGGGUGUUUACCUCUCUCUCUGCAAUUUAGCCUAUGAUUUCUCAAAAACAACCCUUUUUAUAUCAAUUUUAACUGAGCAAUUUGCAGUUUUGUCCUUAUUUUGUGGUGGUCUUUAAUUAACAACUCGUUUUCAUGGUUGUGUUACAUAUUGUUUCAAAAAGAGGCUAUGAUGAUUUUGUAAAACAUUACUAGCAAUUCCCUUCUGAGCUAAUUAAUUAAUUCGGGUAUUUUGAGUUGACCCGACCCGUAUCUUGGCGGGGCAUGACCCGGUUUAUCUGGUGUUUUUUUUUGCAGCCAUGGCGUUGUUGUUGGACUCUUUUUGCCUGAGCUUAAAUUAAACACAGACCUGAGCCUCAUUUUCUAUGUCAUUUUGGGAAAUAUUUUAUUCUUAGGGGCCGUUUGGUAGGUAGCUAAAAUUAUGCCGGGAUUAUAAUUCCGGGACUAAUUUAUCCCAUCUCUUGGAAUUAUUUUAUACCAUGGAUGCAUUUUAUACCUUGUUUGGUACAAGAUAUAAAUUUAUCCCAUGAUAAAUUUAUACCUUCUACCAAACAUGGUACAAAAAAUUAGUGCUGGUAUAUCUCAGCUUAUAUCAUGUACCAAAUGACCCCUUAGGGUUAGUUUGGUUUAGAGAUAAGUUAUGCAUGUGCGCCAUGUAGCCCAGGUUUAUAUUUUAUUAAAAAAGACCCUAAGUUGGUAGAUAUUUUUAACAAUUACUCUCAACAACCAUUUAACAAAUCUUUAUUUAUGUCUACCAUGUGGGAGGAUUUUAUUAAAGAAGGAUUCUAUUAAAGAGUAGUUACAUUACUAUUCAUGUUAAAUUUUCUUUUUUAUUGAACUAAAGUUUGAUCAAUUGACGUUGUAAUUUUUAGAAAGGUCUUCUAGUAGCGUUAUUAAUUUUGUUAUGAACUAUGACUUGCUCAUUUGAUAAGAUUGUAUAAGAAUUGAGAAUGUUUUGAUAGUUUUCACAACUUGUGGGUUUUUAUGUCAAUAAGAAAAAAUACAACUUAAGAAAUGUAAAUUGCAUGUCCAAAUAUGAUUUGAGAUCAUGGUUUCAUCUCAUGAUUUCAAACCAUGUCCAAACUGCUCCUUAGAGUGUGUUUGGAUUGGCUUAUUUUAGGUGCUUUUAAGCACUUACACUCUGUUUGGAUGGUCUGGUCGUUACCCAUGGUUUCAUAAUGUACAGUAUCGUGUUGUAUAUUAGGGCGUUUGAGGUUAUCUGACCCGUAUCUUGGCGGGGAAUGCUCCCAGAUUUUUCUGGUGGUUUUUGCAGCCAUGGCGUGGUUGGACUCUCUUGUUGCCCGAGCUUAAUACAGAUAUGACUUGUUAAGCAUUAUGACUUGUUCAUUUGGUAAGAUUGUCUAAGAGUUGAGAAUAUUUUGAUAGUUUUCACAACUUGUGGGGUUUUUAUGUUUAUAAGAAAAAUACAACUUAAGAAAUUCAAAUUGCAUUUCCAAACAUGAUUUCAAACCAUGUCCAAACGGCUCCUAAGCGUGUUUGGAUUGGCUUAUUUUAGGUGCUUUUAAGCACUUACACUCUGUUUGGAUGGUCUGGUCAUUACCCAUGUUUUCAUAAUGUACAGUAUCGUGUUGUAUAUUAGGGCGUUUGAGGUUAUCUGACCCGUAUCUUGGCGGGGAAUGCUCCCAGAUUUUUCUGGUGGUUUUUGCAGCCAUGGCGUGGUUGGACUCUCUUGUUGCCCUAGCUUAAUACAGAUCUGAGCCUCACUUUAAACUAUUUCUGAUAGUACAGGGGUAUAUUUGAACCUUUUCCGUUUUGUCAAUCUUUCAGUCUGAGCUUAUUAAUCGGGUAUUGAGAUGAUCCGACCCCUAUCUUGGCGGGGCAUGCUUCCAGAUUUUCUGGUGGUUUUUGCAGCCAUGGCGUGGUUGGUCUCGCUCUUGAGCUUAAACACAUAUUUGAGCCUCAAUUUACCGGACUCCAUUAUUGUAAGAACCCGACAACGACGACCUUUUUGUCAAUUUUGGAGGGAGUAUUAUUAACAGCUUCCGGGGACUAUAUAAAUUAAACCUUAGGGAAAUGAAAAAAGGCAAAAAGCUCAGAAGGGAAAGAAUGAGGCUACAGAGAGUUUGGGGAUAUUUCAUUGCAAGGGUGGUUGCCUCACUCUGCAUACAGCCAAUGAUUUCGCCAUUACUGUAAGAAACCCAACAACCCAUAUAUCAAUUUUAGCAGAGGGAGUAAUACAACAACAAACCUAGUGAUUAGAGUGUACGCAGACCUUACCCCACGUUGUGAGGUAGAGAGGCUGUUUCCGUAGAAAUUCGGUUCAAGAAUAGUGUUUUCAAAACAGUUUUAGAACUAAUAUUAACAGCUAGUUUGGAUUGUUGCUGCCGGUGGGGGUGCUGGAUGCAGCAUGGUGAGUAUAAUCGGCGGCUUGAAAGAGGCGAUGAUGAUCUUUGUCAAAUUUUAAUUCCCUUUUGAGCUGAUUAGUAGGGUAUUUGAGAUUAUCCGACCCGUAUCUUGGCGUGGCAUGCUCCCAGAGUAUCUGGUGGUUUUCGCAGCCAUGGCGUCGUUGGACACUCUUGUUACCCGAGCUUAAUUCAGAUCUGAGCCUCACUUUCUCUGCCAGUUUAUGGGAACAAAAGGUUAGUGAAAUGAAUAAAGCAAAAAAGCUCUUAAGGGAAAGAAUGAGGCUACAGAGAAAUGAGGAAUUUCAUUGAAAGGGUGGUUACCUCUCUCUGCAAUUUAGCCUAUUAUUUCUCAAAAACAACCCUUUUUAUAUCAAUUUGCAGUUUUGCCCUUAUUUUGUGGUGGUCUUUAAUUAACAACUCAUUUCGAUGGUUGUUACGUAUUGUUUAAAAAGAGGCUAUGAUGAUUUUGUAAAACAUUACUAGUAAAUUCCCUUCUGAGCUGAUUAAUUAAUUCGGGUAUUUUGAGAUGGCCCGACCCGUAUCUUGGCGGGGCAUGACCUGGUUUUAUCUGGUGUUAUUUUUUUUAUUUUUUUUUGCAGCCAUGGCGUUGUUGUUGGACUCUCUGUUAUGCCUGAGCUUAAACACAGAUCUGAGCCUCACUUUAACUAAUGCCAUUUUGUAAACUAUUUAUUUUUAGGGUUUGUUUGGUUUAAGUAAGCAUUUGGCUAUUGAAAUGAAAUAUUUUUCACUUUAUUUGGUAUUUUUGAAGUUAGGAUUGUGUUUGGUUGUAGUUUUUGCAAAUAAUAUUUGGUUGUUUGGAUGUACUGAAAGUGAAAAAAGUGAAAACAAGGUUUUUAGGUGAUUUCCAAAUGAAGUGAAAAAAAUUUCCAUGAUUCUCAUAGCCAAACGGGUCCUUAUUUUAUGUGCUUUUAAGUACUUGGAUGCAAGUUAUGCAGUGCUGGUGAGUACAAUUGAGGACUUAUGAUUUUGUAAACUAUUUUAUUUUUAGGGUUUGUUUGGUUUAAGUAAGCGUUUGGCUAUUGAAAUGAAAUAUUUUUCACUUUAUUUGGUAUUUUUGAAGUUGUCGUGUUUGGUUGUAGUUUUUUCAAAGAAUAUUUGGUUGUUUGGAUGUACUAACAGUGAAAAAAGUGAAAACAAGGUUUUUAGGUGGUUUCCAAAUGAAGUGAAAAAAUUUCCGGAAAAAAGUGAAUGAUUCUCAUAGCCAGACGGGUCCUUAUUUUAGGUGCUUUUAAGCAAAAAUAGCUUUUAAGCACUUGGAGACAAGUUGUGCAGGUGCUGGUGAGUAUAAGGGAAAAUCACACUAUAUGUCUACUGGGAAAGAAUAUUUACACGGUUUAGCCCAAUUUUUACUUAAACACCUCUUAUACACUAUUAUAAACUUUUAUACAGGGUGGACACAUUAUUUACCGUAAGUGUUGUAUACCGUGUGUAUAAGCAUGGCUGCGGAAAAACGAAGUUGGUUAUGUGAAAUGUAAACUGAAAAUAGGGGUAUGUAGGUGUAAUAUAUUAUGUUGGGGUGUAUAUUUUUGUAAACAUAGUUAAUGGGUUAUGAUUUUGUCAAUCUUUCUGUGUGAGCUUAUUAAUCGGGUAUUUGAGAUUAUCCGACCCGUACCUUGGCGGGGCAUGCCCCGGUUUUUCUGGUGGUUUUUGCAGCCAUGGCGUCGCCGGACUCUCUUUUGCCCGAGCUUAACACAGAUAUUAGCCUCACUUUCUCUGUCAGUUUAGGGAAAUGUACAAAGCAAAAGCUCAGAAGGGGAAAGAAUGAGGCUACAGGGAGUUCAGGAUUUUCCAUUGAAAAGGGUGGUUGCCACUCUUUGCAUCAGCCAAUGAUUUUCUUAAUCACUAUUUUUCAGGUGGUUUUUGCAGCCAUGGCAUCGUUGGACUCUCUGUCAUGCCUGAGCUUAAACACAGAUAUGAGCCUCACUUCAAACUGUUUCUGAUACGACUGGGGUAUAUUUGACCCUUUUCCGUUUUGUCAAUCUUUCAGUCUGAGCUUAUUAAUCGGGUAUUUGAGAUGAUCCGACCUGUAUCUUGGCGGGCAUGCUGGCAGACUUUCUGGGGGUUUUUGCAGCGAUGGCGGCGUUGGACUCUCUUUAUGCCCGAGCUAACAGAUAUGAGCUUCACUUUCUCUGUAAGUUUAGGGAAAUAAAAGUUUAUGGAAAUGAAUAAAGCAAAAGCUCAAAAAGAAAAGAAUGAGGCUUACAGGGAGUUGAGGAUUUUUUUAGAAAGGGAGGUUGCCUCUCUCUGCAUUCAGCCAAUGAUUUCUCCAUUACUGUAAGAAACCCAACAUCCCUCUCAUCAAAUUUAACGUAGAGAGUAUAACAACAUACCCAGUGAUUAGAGUGUAUGCAGACCUUACCCUACCUUUUGAGGUGGAGAGGCUGUUACUGUUGACCCUCAGUUGAAGAAAAGUGUUUUCAAAACAGUUUUAAAACUAAUAAGGCAUAAUACAAAAGCAGGCCCUCAAACUUGGUCUCGGCUGGCAAGUAUAUGCCCUCCAACUUUGGGUGUGCACAGGUAGGCACCUCAACUUGUCUCCACUUUGUCAGUUGAACACUCCAACUUACAAAAUGAUCAUCUAGACACUCCAAAAUUUAUGUGCCACGUCCGUGCCGUUUCAGCAUUUAUGUUUACGUGUUCAACUAUAUACAAGUUGAGGUGCCUACUUGUGCACACCCAAAGUUGGAUGGUUGUUGCAUAUCAUUUCUAAGGGUUUCUACUACUCUUUUUGUCGUCUUUUUUUUUAAAUGCUUCCGCCGGAGCAUUGAGUGCUGCCGGUGGGGAUGGUGGAUGCCGCGUGGUGAGUAUAAUCAGUGGCUUGAAAGAGGUGAUGAUGAUUUUUGUCAAAUUUUAAUUCCCUUUUGAGCUGAUUAGUCGGGUAUUUGAGAUUAUCCGACCCGUAUCUGGCGGGGCAUGCUCCCAGUAUCUGGUGGUUUUCGCAGCCAUGGCGUCGUUGGACACUCUUGUUGCCCGACCUUAUUACAGAUCUGAGCCUCACGUUAAACUAUUUCUGAUAGUACAAGGGUAUAUUUGACCCUUUUCUGUUUUUAAUCUUAGGGUUCUUUUGGUAUGAAGGAAAAUGUUUUCAUGGCAAAUAAGUGGGGUGGUGGAAGGGGUGGGGGUGAGUAUAAUGGUGGCUUCAGAGAGGCGAUGAUGAUUUUGUUAGUUUUAAAUCCCUUCUGAGCUAAUUAUUCGGGUAUUUGGGAGAAUCUGACCCGCAUCUUGGCAGGGCAUGCCCUGGUUUUUCUGGUGGGUUUUGUAGUCAUGGUGUGGUUGGACUUUAUUUGCCCGAGGUUAACACAGAUCUGAGCCUUACUUUUCUCUAUGUCAGUUUGGAAAAUAUUUUAUAUUUAUUAGGCGUUUGGACAUGCGAUUUGAAACCAUAGUUUGAAAUUAGCGUUUGGACAUGCAACCAUGGGAUGAAAUCCCAAAUCAUCCAAAAAGGCAUGAUUUGGGGUUUCAAACCAUGGUUUCAAACGGCACCUUAGGGUUUGUUUGGUUAAAGACUGGUUAGUGUAAUGCAGACGGUGGUGAGUAUAAUUGACCGCUUGAAUGGGACGAGGAUGAUUAUGUCAACUUUUCGUCCCCUUUAAAAUGGUUAAUCAGGAAAUUUGAGGUUAUCCAACCCACAUCUUGGCGGGGCAUGCUCCAGAAUUUCUGGCGGUUUUUGCAGCCAUGGCGUGGUUGGACUAUCUUUUCGCCUGAGCUAAACACAGAGCUGAGCCUCACUUUCUCUGCCAGUUUAUGGGAACAAAAGGUUAGUGAAAUGAACAGAGCAAAGUGCUCAGUAGGGAAAGAAUGAGGCUAUAGAGAAAUGGGGAUUUUCAUUGACAUGGUGGUUGCCUCUCUCUGCCUUCAGCCAAUGAUUUCUCCAUUACUGUAAGAAUCCCAACAACCCUUUUAUCAAUUUUAACGGAGGGAGUAUUAUUAUUAACAGCUCGUUUGGCAUUUGAAGUUCAAAAAUUAAAGUCAUCCCAUUUGAAGGGCAAUUCGUGCAAUUUCUUUGUUGUCAUUAGUUGUUACAUAUCGUUCAAUGGGUUUCUAUGCCCUCAACUCUUUUUUCUUUUCUUUUUUAAAUGCUUCAGCCGGAGCAUUGAAUGCUGCCGGUGGAGCUGGUGGAAACGGCGGUGAGUAUAAUCGGUGGCUUGAAAGAGGCGAUGAUGAUUUUUGUCAAUUUUUAAUUCUCUUCUGAGCUGAUUAAUCGGGCAUUUAAGAUAAUCCGACCCGUAUCUUGGCGGGGCAUGCUCCCAGACUUUCUGGUGGUUUUUGCAACUAUGGCGUGGUCCGACUCUCUUUUUGCUCGAGUUAAACACAGAUCUGAGCUUCAUUUUCUGUAUCAUUUUGGGAAAUAGUUUAAUUUUAGGGUUCGGUUGCUUUAGAGCCUGUUUGGAUUGGCUUAUUUUAGGCGCUUUUAAGCUAAAAUAGCUUUUAAGCUCUUAGAGACAAGUUUUGCAGGUGCCGGUUAGUAUAAUUGAGGGCUUAUGAUUUUGUCAAUCUUUCAGCCUGAGCUUAUUUAUCGGGUAUUUGAGAUGAUCCGACCCGUUUCUUGGCAGGGCAUGCCGUCAGAUUUUCUGGUGGUUUUUGCAGCCAUGGCGGCGUUGGAUUUUCUUGUUGCCCGAGCUUAAUACAGAUCUGAGCCUCACUUUAAACUAUUUGUGAUUGUGCAGUGGUAUAUUUGACCCUUUUCCGUUUUGCCAAUCUUUCCGUCUGAGCUUAUUAAUCAGGUAUUUGAGAUGAUCCGACCUGUAUCUUGGCGGGGCAUGCUCCCAGAUUUUCUGGUUGUUUUUGCAGCCAUGGUGUUGUUGGACUCUCUUGUUGCCCGAGCUUAACACAGAUCUGAGUCUCACUUUCUCUGUCAGUUUAGGGAAACAAAAAUGGACAAACUAAAAACUCAGAAGUUAAAGAAUGAGGCUACAGAGAACUGGGGAUUUUCAUUUCUCUGGUCUACAAAACCAGAGAUUCUGGGUUCGAUCCCAGCAGAGUCUAUCAAUUGUCUAUCCUUAUCAAAAAAAGGAAUGAGGACUUUCAUUUCUCCAUUACUAAAUUAAAGACCAUACCAUUUGAAAACGAUACAAUAGUGAACCACGGGAAAGAAUGAGGCUACAGGAUUUGAGGAUUUUUGUUUAAAGGGUGGUUGCCUCUCCCUGCAUCAGCUAAUGAUUUCUCCAUUACUGUAAGAAUAUAAACAGCUUGUUUGGCAUUUGAAAUGCAAAAAUUAAAGUUCAGCUCAUUUGAAGGGCAAUCCGUUCAAUUUCUUCGUUGUUGGUACAUAUCGUUCAAAGGGUUUCUAUUUUUUUUUCCUUUUCUUUUUUUAAUGCUUCCUGCGGAGCAUUGAAUGCUGCCGGUGGAGCUGGUGGAACUCAUGGAAGUGGUGCUGGUGCCUGGGCAUGAUCUCAGAUUUUCUGGUGGUUUUUGGAGCCUUGGCAUUGUUGGACUCUCUGUUAUGCCUGAGCUUAAAUACUGAUCUGAGCCUUACUAUAUAAACAAAAGGGCAGGAAAUGACCAUUAUCUGACCCGUAUCUGGGCGGGGCGUGGCUUCAGAUUUUCUGGUGGUUUUUGCAGCCAUUGCGUGGUUGGGCUCUCUUUUUGCCCGAGCUUAACACUGAUCUGAGCCUCACGUUAACUAUGUCAUUUUGGGAAACAACAGUUGAAUAAAGCAAAAAGCUCCGGAGGGAAUGAAUGAGGUGGUUGUCUCUCUCUGCAUUCAGCCAAUGAUUUCUCCAUUUCACUGGCAUGACCUGGUUUUACCUGGUGGUUUUUGCAGCCAUGGCGUUGUUGGGACUCUCUUUUUGCUCGAGCUUUACGCAGAUCUGAGCCUCACUUUACCGGACUCCAUUACUGUAAGAAACCCAACAAACCUUUUGUCAAUUCUAACGGAGGGAGUACUAUUUACAGCUUCAGGGUACUAUAUAAACAAAAGGUCAUUGAAUGAACAAAGCAAAAGCUCAUAAGGGUAAUAAUGAGGCUAUUUGAGGAUUUUUGUUGAAAGGGUGGUUGCCUCUCUUUGCAUCAGCCAAUGAUUCCACCAUUACCAUAAGACUCCCAACAGCCCUUUUAUCAAUUUUAACAGAGGGAGUAUUAUAAACAGCUUGUUUGGCAUUUGAAAUGCAAAAAUUAAAGUUCAUCUCCUUUGAAGGGCAAUCCCUGCAAUUUCUUCAUUUUGUUACAUAUCGUUCAAAGGGUUUCUAUUUUUUUUUUCUUUUCCUUUUUUAAUGCUUCCGCUGGAGCAUUGAAUGCUGGUGGAAGUGGUGCUGGUGCCUGGUGAGUAUAAUUGGUGGCUUGAAAGAGGCGAUGAUGAUUUUGUCAAUUUUUAAGUCCUUUCUGAGCUGAUUAAUCGGGCAUUUGAGAUAAUCCGACCCGUAUCUUGGCGGGGCAUGCUGUCAGAUUUGCUGAUGGUUUUUGCAGCCAUGGCGUUGUUGGACUUCUCUUUUUGCCCGAGCUUAACACAGAUCUGAGCCUCAAUUUUUCUCUAUUCAGCUUGGAAUUCUUUUAUAUAUAUAUUUACACUCUGUUUGGAUGGUUGUUUCUAGUGGUUCAUUAAUGUACAGUAUGGUAUGGUAUAGUAUGGUGCUGUAUUGUACUAUAUUUGUGAACGCAAUGUUUGGAUACACUAUAUCGUUUGUUGUGGUUUAAUUACAUUUUUAUAGUUUGGUUUGACUGUAUGCUAUUGUAUAAUAGCAUGUAAGUUUAUUUAUCUGGAAUUUGAGAUGAUCCGACCUGUAUCUUGGCGGGGCAUGCUCCCAGGUUUCUGGUGGUUUUUGCAGCCAUGGCGUGGUUGGUCCCGCUUUUUGCCUGAGCUUAAACACAGAUCUGAGCCUUAACUCCAUUAUUGUAAGAACCUGGCAGCGACAAAAUUUUUGUCAUUUUUGACGGAGGGAGUAUUAUUAACAGCGUCCGGGUACUAUAUAAAUAUAACCUUAGGGAAAUGAACAAAGCAAAAUGCAUAGAAGGGAAAGAAUGAGGCUAUCCCAACAACCCUUUUUAUGAAAUUAUAACGGAGGGAGUAGUAUAUUAUUAGCACUUUUGCCUCUAUUUUAUGCUGGUCUUUAUUUAACAGCCAGUUUGGAUGGUUGUUACAUAUUGCUUCAAAGAGGCGAUGAUGAUUUUGUAAAAUAUUACUAAUUCCCUUCUGAGCUGAUUAAUUUGGGUAUUUGAGAUGACCCGACCCGUAUCUUGGCAGGGCAUGACCCGGUUUAUCCUGGUGGUUUUUGCAGCCAUGGUGUUGUUGGGACUCUCUUUUUGCCUGAGCUAAACAAAGAUCUGAGCCUCAUUUUCUCUAUCAUUUUGGGAAAUAUAUUUUACGUUUAGGGUUCGUUUGGUUUACAGCGUGUUUGGAUUGGCUUAUUUUAGGUGCUUUUAAGCCAAAACAGCUUUUAAGCACUUACACUUUGUUUGGAUGGUCCUUACCCAUGGUUUCAUAAUGUACAGUAUUGUAUUGUAUAGUAUCGUAUGCAAGUGCCGAUGAGUAUAAUUGAUGGCUUAUGAGCAAAGCAAAAAGCUCAGAAGGGAAAGAAUGAGUCUUCAGAUUGAAAGGCGGUUGCCUCCCUCUGCAUUUAGCCAAUGAUUUCUCCAUUACUCUAAGAAUCCCAACAUCCUUUUAAUCAAUUUUAACGGAGGGAGUAACUUUCUCUAUAUCAGUUGAGGAAAUAUUACUUAGGGUUCGUUUGGUUUGGCCUGUUUGGAUUGGCUUAUUUUAGGUGCUUUUAAGCUAAAAUGGCUUUUAAGCACUUAGAGACAAGUUACCCGCAAGGGUGGCUCAGUUGGUUGAGCAUGGGGCUUUCAUAAUGGAGGUCUCAGGUUCCAAACCCCUUGCCUACGACAGCAGGAGAUUUGCCUUCUGGGUCGAGCUCAUUGCACGGGGCUUGCCUAGUGCGGGUUACCUCUCCUGUGUGGUUUGCGAGCUAUUGCACAGGAGCUGGGUUUACCCAGUGCGCACCCAAAGGGUAGCGGCUGCGGGUUCCCAUGUCAUCAUAAAAAAAAAAAAAAAAACACUUAGAGACAAGUUUUGCAGGUGCUGGUUAGUAUAGUUGAGGGCUUAUGAUUUUGUCAAUCUUUCAGUCUGAGCAUAUUAAUCGGGUAUUUGAGAUGAUCCGACCAGGUUCUUGGCGGGGCAUGCCGUCAGAUUUUCUGGUGGUUUUUGCAGCCAUGGCGGCGUUGGACUCUCUUGUUGCCCGAGCUUAAUACAGAUCUGAGCCUCGCUAACUAUUUCUGAUAGUGCAGGGGUAUAAUUGACCCUUUCCCGUUUUGUCAAUCUUUCCGUCUGAGCUUAUUAAUCAGGGUAUUUGAGAUGAUCCGACCUGUAUCUUGGCGGGGCAUGCUCCCAGAUUUUCUGAUAGGGAAAUGGACAAACUAAAAACUCAGAAGUUAAAGAAUGAUGCUACAUAGAAAUGAGGAUUUCCAUUUCUCUGGUAUAUGAAACCAGAGAUUCUGGGUUUGAUCCCCAGCAGAGUUGAUCAAUUGUCUAUCCUUAUCAAAAAAGAAAUGAGGACUUUCAUUUCUCCAUUUGUAAGAAUCCCAACAACCCUCUUAUCAAUUUUAACGGAGGGUAUUAACAGCUCGUUUGGCAUUUGAAGUGCAAAAAUUAAAGACCAUCCCAUUUGAAAUGAAUACAAUAAUGAACCACAGGAAAGAAUGAGGCUUCAGGGAUUUGAGAAUUUUUGUUGAAAGGGUGGUUGCCUCUCCUGCAUCAGUCAAUGAUUCCUCCAUUACUGUAAGAAUCCCAACAGCCCUUUUAUCAAUUUUAACAGAGGGAGUAUUAUAAGCAGCUUGUUUGGCAUUUGAAAUGCAAAAAUUAAAGUUUUGCCAGAGCCUAACACAGAUCUGAGUCUCAACUUUUCUCUAUAUCAGUUGGGAAAAUUAUUACUUAGGGUUCGUUUGGUUUUGAAGACAAGUUAUGCAGGUGCUGUUGAGUAUAUUGACUGCUUGAAAGAGGCCAAUGAUUUUUGACAAUGUUUAUAACCUUUUGAGCUGGUUAAUUGGGCAUUUGAGGUUAUCCAACCCGUAUCUUGGCGGAGCAUAUUCCCAGAUUUUCUGGUGGUUUUUGCAGCCAUGGCGUGGUUGAACUCUCUUUUUGCCAGAGCCUAACACAGAUCUGAGUCUCAACUUUUCUCUAUAUCAGUUGGGAAAAUUAUUUCUUAGGGUUCGUUUGGUUUUGGAGACAAGUUAUGCAGGUGCUGUUGAGUAUAUUGACUGCUUGAAAGAGGCCAAUGAUUUUUGACAAUGUUUAUAACAUUUUGAGCUGGUUAAUUGGGCAUUUGAGGUUAUCCGACCCGUAUCUUGGCGGGGCAUGCUCCCAGAUUUUCUGGUGGUUUUUGCAGCCAUGGUGUGGUUAGACUCUACUGGGUAUGUUGGUGGUGAUGGUGGUGUGGUUGGACUCUCUUUUUGCCCAACCUUAGCACCGGUCUGAGCCUCAAUUUUGGUAUGUCAGCUUGGAUUUAAAAAAUAAUAAUAUUUAGGGUGUUUGGUAUGAAGGAAAAUGUUUUGAUGGAAAAUGAGUGGGAGUGGUGGAAGCGGUGGGGGUGAGUAUACUCAGCGGCUCGAAAGAGGUGAUGAUGAUUUUUGUAAAAUUUUUAGGUUUAUCCGACUUGUAUCGUGGCGGGGCGUGGCUCCAGAUUUUCUGGUGGUUUUUGCUGCCAUGGCGUGGUUGGACUCUUUUUGCCUGAGCUUAACAUAGAUCUGAGCCUCACUUUAACUAUGUCAUUUUGAGAAACAAAAGGUUAGGGAAAUGAACAAAGCAAAAAGCUCAGAAGGGAAAGAAUGAGGCUACAGAGAAAUGAGGAUUUUCAUUGAAAGGGUGGUUGCCUCUCUCUGCAUUUAGCCAAUGAUUUCUCCAUUACUGUAAGAAUCCCAACAUCCCUUUUAUCAAUUUUAAAGCUGGGAGUAUUAUUAUUAAUAGCUCGUUUGGCAUUUGAAGGGCAAAAAUUAAAGACAAUUCCAUUUGCAAUUUCUUCAUUGUCGUUAGUUGUGGCAUACUGUUCAAAGGGUUUCUAUGCCCUUCAACUCUUUUUUUUCUUUUUUCUUUAAUGCUUCCGCCGGAGCAUUGAGUGCUGCCGGUGGAGCUGGUGGAAACCGCGGUGAGUAUAAUCGGUGGCUUGAAAGAGGCGAUGAUGAUUUUUGUCAAUUUUUAAUUCCCUUCUGAGCUGAUUAAUCGGGCAUUUGAGAUAAUCCGACUCGUAUCUUGGCGGGGCAUGCUCCCAGACUUUCUGGUGGUUUUUGCAACCAUGGCGUCGUUGGACUCUCUUUUUGCCCGUGUUAUACACUGAUCUGAGCCUCAUUUUCUCUUUUCAUUUUGGGAAAUAGUUCAUUUUUAGAGUUCGUUUGGUUUGGAGCCUGUUUGGAUUGGCUUAUUUUAGGUGCUUUUAAGCUAAAAUAGCUUUUAAGCACUUAGAGACACGUUAUGCAGGUGCUACUGAGUAUAGUUGAGGGCUUAUGAUCUUCACUCUGCUUUUCUUCUGCAUCUUUGAGGAGCAGCUCAUUUCUCAGCCACUGCACAUUCUCUCUCAGACUUGACCGCAGGUUAACUUCCCGUAUGAGGAAAUCCUCCAGUUUUUGAAUUGCAUAUGACACUAAGGCAUCAGCCAUUUUCAAGAGUCUUGAUAUUUAGUAUACUCAGAGCUGGAAAAAUAGGGGCUGUAUGGGAAAGCUGGAGAAAGAGAAACAGUAGAUAUAAAACUAAGAUCAAGUUGAAUAAACUGUAGCCGUUGAUUGUGAGUUUGAUAAGAGAUGAAUACUGUUUUUGUCUUAAUGAAUUGAGUGUUUAAGAUGGUCCAUUAAUAAUGUGAUUAAAGCAUAAAAAAUCCGACAGAUGAACAUGGGCUUGUGGAAAAUAUAUGUGGGGAAAAGUUAAAAGUAACAAUAAUAGGUGUUGUACAACGGUCCACCACCUAAUAAUUCUGUUUGGACAAUAUGGGGAUAGUAACAAAGAAAAGUUAGAGCAAUGAAAGUGAAAUGUGUACCAUUUGACACAUUCAGAAAAAAGAAAUAUACGAUAAAGAUGGUAUUGAUGAUAAGAGUUGAGGUAAUGGUAAAGCUAUCAGGAAAUCAUUGAUCAGUUGGCAUUGCUCUAGUUGUUACAUAUGUGUCAAGGGCAAACUGUGCCAUUUCUUCUUUAAAGAGGCGAUGAUGAUUUUUGUCUAUUUUAUUCCCUUCGGUGCUGAUUAAUUGGGCAUUUGAGAUAAUCCGACCCGUAUCUUGGCGGGGCAUGCUUCCAAACUUUCUGGUAGUUUUUGCAGCCAUGGCGUUGUUGGACUCUCUUGUUGCCCAAGCUUAACACAAAUCUGAGCCUCACUUUCUCUAUAUCAGUUAGGAAAUAUUAUUUAGGGUUCGUUUGGUUAUGGAAACAAGUUAUGCAGGUGUUGUGAGUAUAUUGACUGCUUGAAAGAGGUGAUGAUGAUUUUUGUUAAUUUUUAAUUCCCUUAUGAGCUGAUUAACGGGCAUUUGAGGUUAUCAGACCUGUAUCUUGGCGGGGCAUGCUCCCAGUUUUUCUGGUGGUUUUUGCAGCCUUGGCGUGGUUGGACUCUCUUUUUGCCCAAGCUUAAACACAGAUCUGAGCCUCACUUUAACUAUGUCAUUAUGGGAAAUAAAAGGUUAGGGAAAUGAACAAAGCAAAAGCUCAGAAGGGCGAAAGAAUGAGGCUACAGAGAGUUUAGGGAUUUUCAUUGAAAGGGUGGUUGCCUCUCUCAUCAUUUAGCCAAUGAUUUCUCCACUACUGUAAGAACCCAACAACCCUUUAAUCAAUUUUACUGGUCAUUUGCACUUUUGCCCUUAUUUUGUGGUUGUCUUUAAUUAAUAACUGUUUGGAUGGUUGUUAUUUAUUGUUUCAGAGGUUUUGUAUGCCCUUCAACUCCUUUUUAAUGCUUCUGCCGGAGCAUUCAAUGUUGCCGGUGGAGCUGGUGAGUAUAAUCGGACAGCUUGAAAGAGGCGAUGAUGAUUUUGUCAAUUUUUAAUUCCCUUAUAAGCUAAUUAAUCGGGCAUUUGAGGUUAUCCGACCCAUACCUUGGCGGAGCUUGCCAUCGGAUUUUCUGGUGGUUUGCAGCCAUGGCGUUGUUGGACUCUCUUUUUGCCCGAGCUUACCACAGAUCUGAGCCUUACUUUCUCUGUCAGUUUAGGUAAACAAAAGGUUAGAGAAAUGAACAAAGCAAAAACUCAGAAGGGAAAAAAAUGAGGCUACGGAGAGUUUAGGGAUUUCCAUUGAACGGGUGGUUUGCCUCUCUCUGUAUUGCCAAUGAUUUCUACAUUGCUGUAAGAAACUCAAUAACCCUUUUAUCAAUUUUAACAGAGGGUGUAUACUAGGAACAGCUCUUCGAUUGUUGGUUACAUAUUGUUUCAAAGGGUUUCCAUGCCCUUCUUAAAAACUAUUUUCUUGAGCCGAGGGUCUAUCUGAAACAGCCCCUCUACCCCACAACGGUAGGGGUAAGGUCUGUGUACACCCCACUCACCCCACACCCACUUGUGGGACUUUACAGGGUCUGUUGUUGUUCUGCCGGAGCAUUUAGUGUUGCCGUUGGAGCUGGUGGAAAUGGUGCUGGUAACUAUAAUCGGGCGGCUUGAAUGAGGCGAUGAUUAUUUUUGUCAAUUUCAAAUCACUUAUGUGUUGAUUAACCGGGUAUUUGUGAUUAUCCGACUUGUAUCUUGGCGGGGCAUGCCCUGUUUUUUCUGGUGGUUUUUGCAGCUAUAGCGGCGUUGGACUCUCUUGUUGCCAGAGGUUAACGCAGAUCUGAGUUUUAUUUGGACCAAAGCAGGCAUUAUUAAGAAUUUCAGGGGGCACCCUAUUUGGACACUGUCAUGCUAUGCUAAUACCAUGCAUCCUCUUUAUCUUUUCCUUUUCUUUUAAUGCUCCCACCGGAGCAUUCAAAGUUGCCAUGGUGGUGGUGAGCAUAGUCAAUGCUUAAUAGAGGCGAUGAUGAUUUUGUCAUUCCCUCUUAGCCUAUGAGUCGGGCAUUUGAGAUAAUCCGACCCGUAUCUUGGCAGGGCAUCCCCCGCAGAUUUUUCUGGUGGUUUUUGCAGCCAUGGCGUAGCCUGACUCUAUGCCCGAACUUAACACAGAUCUGAGCCUCAGUUUCUCUGUGCUUUUUAAAAUGGGUAUGUAAUUAUCUAUAGGCUUGAGGGCACUAUAUAAACAGAAGGUCAGAAAGAUGACCAAAGCAAAAACUCAGAAGAGAAUCAUUGAUACCCUUAUGAGCUUAUCAAUCGGGCAUUUGAGAUUAUCCGACCCGUAUGUUGGUGUGGCAUGCCCCAGAUUCUCUGGGUUUUUUUUUUGGCAGCAUGACGUCAUUGGACUCUCCUUUUGCCUUAGGUAAAUACAAUUUAUGGUGAUUGUUGAAAAUUCAGCCAUUAGCGUUGUUGAUGUUGUUGUUGUUGUUUGGAUUAUGGAAAGAUAUUACCCAUGAAUUGCAGACUUUUAUGGGUCUUUUCAGUUAAGUUCUCUGUAAAAACAAAGUGGCCAUUCUCCAUCUUGUUUUCUCCUUGUUUAAUUCUCUUCUUAAAGGGUGGACUAGAAACCUCUCUACUGCUUCAUGAAUAUGUCCCAGGGCUCAAGGCUUUGGUCUAGGGAUAAGAGUGCAACAAUUGAUGUGUUGAGGUGCAUGUCACAAUUCACAAGUUCGAAUUAUGGCUUUGGAACAAUUGAUGUGUCAGGUGCAUGACGCAAGUUCGAAUUAUGGCUUUGGACUUGGGGAGAAGAGUGCAAAAAUUGAUGUGUAACGGUGCAUGCUGCAAGUUGGAAUUAUGGCUUUGGUCCAUGGAUAAGAGUGCAAUAGUUGAUGUAGUUAUUGUCCUGUAAGGGAUUGGUAAAAACAGACAGUUAAUAUAUUCCUUAAAUUAAUCAAGAGUGCAACGAGGUUAAGAUUU